rnacentral:rRNA from 1 species
CCUAGCAAUAGGUUGAUGGCGACCGGCGCACGGGUGAGUAACACGUAUCCAACCUACCGGUUAUUCCGGGAUAGCCUUUCGAAAGAAAGAUUAAUACCGGAUAGUAUAACGAGAAGGCAUCUUCUUGUUAUUAAAGAAUUUCGAUAACCGAUGGGGAUGCGUUCCAUUAGUUUGUUGGCGGGGUAACGGCCCACCAAGACAUCGAUGGAUAGGGGUUCUGAGAGGAAGGUCCCCCACAUUGGAACUGAGACACGGUCCAA